rnacentral:rRNA from 1 species
UACGUAGGGCGCAAGCGUUAUCCGGAAUUAUUGGGCGUAAAGAGCUUGUAGGCGGUCUGUCGCGUCUGCUGUGAAAAUCCGGGGCUCAACCCGGACUUGCAGUGGGUACGGGCAGACUAGAGUGUGGUAGGGGAGACUGGAAUUCCUGGUGUAGCGGUGAAAUGCGCAGAUAUCAGGAGGAACACCGAUGGCGAAGGCAGGUCUCUGGGCCAGCUACUGACGCUGAGAAGCGAAAGCAUGGGGAGCGAACAGG